rnacentral:rRNA from 1 species
ACAGAGGGUGCAAGCGUUAAUCGGAAUUACUGGGCGUAAAGCGCGCGUAGGUGGUUUGAUUAGUCGGAUGUGAAAGCCCCGGGCUUAACCUGGGAAUUGCAUUCGAUACUGUCAGGCUAGAGUAUGGUAGAGGGAAGUGGAAUUCCAGGUGUAGCGGUGAAAUGCGUAGAUAUCUGGAGGAACAUCAGUGGCGAAGGCGACUUCCUGGACCAAUACUGACACUGAGGUGCGAAAGCGUGGGGAGCGAACAGG